UACGGAGGGUGCGAGCGUUAAUCGGAAUCACUGGGCGUAAAGCGCGCGUAGGCGGCUUUUCAAGUCAGGGGUGAAAUCCCACGGCCCAACCGUGGAACUGCCUUUGAAACUGUAGAGCUUGAGUGUCGGAGAGGGUGGCGGAAUUCCAGGUGUAGGAGUGAAAUCCGUAGAUAUCUGGAGGAACACCGGUGGCGAAGGCGGCCACCUGGACGACAACUGACGCUGAGGUGCGAAAGCGUGGGGAGCAAAUAGG
rnacentral:rRNA from 1 species